GACGAACGCUGGCGGCGUGCUUAACACAUGCAAGUCGAACGGCAAGGCCCUGCUUUUGUGGGGUGCUCGAGUGGCGAACGGGUGAGUAACACGUGAGUAACCUGCCCUUGACUUUGGGAUAACUUCAGGAAACUGGGGCUAAUACCGGAUAGGAGCUCCUGCUGCAUGGUGGGGGUUGGAAAGUUUCGGCGGUUGGGGAUGGACUCGCCGCUUAUCAGCUUGUUGGUGGGGUAGUGGCUUACCAAGGCUUUGACGGGUAGCCGGCCUGGGAGGGUGACCGGCCACAUUGGGACUGUGAUACGGCCCAGACUCCUACGGGAGGCAGCAGUGGAGAAUAUUGCACAAUGGGCGGAAGCCUGAUGCAGCAACGCCGCGUGCGAGAUGACGACCUUCGGGUUGUAUACCGCUUUCGCCUGUGACGAAGCGUGAGUGACGGUAAUGGGUAAAGAAGCACCGGCUAACUACGUG
rnacentral:rRNA from 1 species